AAAGAUCUAUCGACAAGGAUGACCCCCCGUCGGACUAGCUUGUUGGUGAGGUAAAGGCUCCCUCUUGCGAGAUCCGUAUCUGGUCUGAAAGGAUGAUCACGCACUCUGGGACUGAUACACGGCCCAUACUCCUGCGGCAGGCAUCAGGGGGGAAUAUUGGACAAUGGGCGAAAGCCUGAUUCUGCAAUGCCGCGUGAGUGAUGAAUGCCUUAGGGUUGUAAAGCUCUUUUACCCGGGAUGAUAAUGAACCUACCGGGCGAAUAAGCCCCGGCUAACUCCGUGCCAGCAGCC
rnacentral:rRNA from 1 species